GCGUUGCUCGGAAUGACUGGGCGUAAAGGGCGCGUAGGCGGAUUGGUCAGUCAGGCGUGAAAUUCCUGGGCUUAACCUGGGGGCUGCGUUUGAGACGGCUGGUCUGGAGUGGGGAAGAGGGUCGUGGAAUUCCCAGUGUAGAGGUGAAAUUCGUAGAUAUUGGGAAGAACACCGGUGGCGAAGGCGGCGACCUGGUCCUUGACUGACGCUGAGGCGCGAAAGCGUG
rnacentral:rRNA from 1 species